rnacentral:tRNA from 1 species
AGUAAAGUCAGCUAAUAAAGCUCUCGGACCCAUACCCCGAAAAUGUGGAAUCUCCACCUUUACUA